rnacentral:rRNA from 1 species
AUUGAACGCUGGCGGCAGGCCUAACACAUGCAAGUCGAGCGAGCGGCGGACGGGUGAGUAAUGUAUGGGGACUGCCCGAUAGAGGGGGAUAACUACUGGAAAAGGUAGCUAAUACCGCAUACUAUAGGAUAACCCAUAUGGGAUUAGCUAGUAGGUGAGGUAAUGGCGCACCAAGGCAACGAUCCGUAGCUGGUUUGAGAGGACGACCAGCCACACUGGGAUUGAGACACGGCCCAGACUCCUACGGAGGCAGCAGUUGGGAAUUUUGGACAAUGGGGGAAACCCUGAUCCAGCCAUCCCGCGUGUAUGAUGAAGGCCUUCGGGUUGUAAAGUACUUUUGGCAGAGAAGCGGUAUCUGCAGAAUAAGCACCGGCUAACUACGUGCCAGCCGCCGCGGUAAUUC